AAUGGUGGAUAAAAUGCAAGCCCAUUAGCAGAGGCAGAUUUCUGUGCACCGCCACAUGGGAGUUUCACAUGUACCCUGUAUUCCCUUCCUCUUCUCUUCUACUGAUAAUGUCAAUGCACAAGCUACAUCAUCAGGCAUAACUAGUAAUCUGACACCAG